rnacentral:ncRNA from 1 species
AGAUGAGUGAAACAGCCCGCUCCCGCGCAACCGGGGGCGAUACCGGUACCGGGCUUCCCCAGCACCGUGCCGGGCCUGCGUUCGCGCACACUCCUCACCGAUCGGA